GGUGGCCUUUGCAGCUAAUAUCCAGUGUCCAGAGAGUCCCUGGUCCCCCAGAAGGUGGAGAGGCUGGGACAUGGGGUUCUCCCCGACGGCUUCCUCUCCUGGCUGCUGAGGGUCUCCUCUCAGGUGCUGAAUAGAACAACUCUAGGGGUCUGGGCUGGAGAAACCCCAGGCAGAGGAGCAGAGAAGGCAGCUGCCCCAGGCAGGUGCAGACAGGCAGAGGGGACGCCCUGGCGCUGGUGCUGCCUCCUCUCAUCUCCCGCAAGGGUCCCCUCACCUUCUUGCUCUGCCUGAAGCUUCCUGCACUGCACACAUGGUCACUGCUCCGCACCCCUCACCUCUGCACUGGGAUUUCCCUUCUCACGUCCUUCUGUGGCCUCUGUCUUCACGCUGCUGCACCUGGGCACAGAACUGUCACCUGAAAUUCCCACCACCGACCGGCCAACUGACCUUGGCGUCCGACGUCCCCUCUCCCCGACUUGGAUUUCCCACCUUCUCUGCCCUCUGCCAGCCUCCAGGACCCUACCUGCUGCC
rnacentral:lncRNA from 1 species